UGGGGAAUUUUGGACAAUGGGCGAAAGCCUGAUCCAGCAAUGCCGCGUGUGUGAAGAAGGCCUUCGGGUUGUAAAGCACUUUUGUCCGGAAAGAAAUCCUUGGCUCUAAUACAGUCGGGGGAUGACGGUACCGGAAGAAUAAGCACCGGCUAACUACGUGCCAGCAGCCGCGGUAAUACGUAGGGUGCAAGCGUUAAUCGGAAUUACUGGGCGUAAAGCGUGCGCAGGCGGUUUGCUAAGACCGAUGUGAAAUCCCCGGGCUCAACCUGGGAACUGCAUUGGUGACUGGGCAGGCUAGAGUAUGGCAGGAGGGGGGUAGAAUUGCCACGUGUGAGCAGUGAAAUGCGUAGGAGAUGUGGAGGAAUACCGAUGGCGAAGGCAGCCCCUGGGCCAAUACUGACGCUCAUGCAGCGAAAGCGUGGGGGAGCAAACAGGAUUAGAUACCCUGGUAGUCCAGCGCCCU
rnacentral:rRNA from 1 species